CCUACGGGCCGCAGCAGUGGGGAAUAUUGGACAAUGGGGGCAACCCUGAUCCAGCCAUGCCGCGUGUGUGAAGAAGGCCCUCGGGUUGUAAAGCACUUUCAGUGAGGAAGAACGCCUGGUGGUUAAUACCCAUCAGGAAAGACAUCACUCACAGAAGAAGCACCGGCUAACUCCGUGCCAGCAGCCGCGGUAAUACGGAGGGUGCGAGCGUUAAUCGGAAUUACUGGGCGUAAAGCGCGCGUAGGUGGCUUGAUAAGCCGGUUGUGAAAGCCCCGGGCUCAACCUGGGAACGGCAUCCGGAACUGUCAAGCUAGAGUGCAGGAGAGGAAGGUAGAAUUCCCGGUGUAGCGGUGAAAUGCGUAGAGAUCGGGAGGAAUACCAGUGGCGAAGGCGGCCUUCUGGACUGACACUGACACUGAGGUGCGAAAGCGUGGGUAGCAAACAGGAUUAGAUACCCUAGUAGUC
rnacentral:rRNA from 1 species